GCCGCAUGGAUCAGUUGGUAGAUCGCCUUCUGUUAUUAUUCCAAGUGUAUUGUAGGGAGGCGGAGGUUCGAACCCUCCUGUGGGCA